rnacentral:lncRNA from 1 species
GCUCCUCUCGCCUGCGUGUUGCACACGGCGACGCCAGAGCGCUUUCACGCCGCCGGGAGAAUCGGACCGAGCGACCGGGGUUCCCAGAUCUAAAAAAAAAAAAAAAUAAGAAUUUCACUAAAUUUAAAAAAAAAAAAAAAAGGCGCCGCGCCGCGGGGACGCAGGGACAGGCACGCAGACGGACGGCGGGACAUGGUCGCGUAACGGGUACCGUCUUCCCCACUGCUUGAUUAAUCUAUUGGCGUGAUUAGCGCGCGGAGGGGGAGGGGCGUGCGGCGGGACGUCGGGCGCGCGCUUUCGGCCCCGGUACGCCGACGUUUUUUACUCUGAAAGAUGCCGCUUUGUGUGCACGCGUGCACGGGGAGACCGGCGGCGAGGCGGCCGGUGACCAAAUAUUAGAACCAAAUACGGCGUGCGUGUGUGUGUGUGUGUGAGAGAGAGAGUGUGUGUGUGUGUGUGUGUGUGUCUUUUUUUAAGCAGAUACCAAAGCGACAAGGCCGCCGUGACGGCGCGACAAGCCGCGGGCUGCUCGUCACCAUCAUAAUAAUAAUAAUAAUAAUAAUAAUAAUCAUUAUUGUUAUUGUUAUUAUUAUUUCAGCAUUAGUACCUUGCCUUACUCGCGCGUUAUCCGCACUCGGGACGCCAGCCUCGGGUACAAGUACGGCGGGGUUCUCCAGGCGCGUCCCGGCCGUCCGUCUGCGCGCCGGACAGAUGCGGCUCCCCGCGACGCGCGGCCACGGCGCACCAUGUAAAGACGGCGAGCGCGACGCUUAAAAACACGCCACAAGAGUACAAGAAGAAGCCAACAACAACAACAACAACAAAAAGGGGGUCCACGUCCAACACCCGACGACUGCGGACCAUGUUCGUCCCGCUGCCGGUGCCGCUGGUCUUUCAGAGAACCGCGUCCGACUUCAGCGCCUGGCGACUCAAGUCCCCGCUGGCCCUGCGCUCCAGCAACGAUAUCAGGAUGUCCAAACCAUUAGAAGAUGAGAGACCCGGUGCUGAAUUUCCAGUAGACAGCACAGGUGUGUAAAUGUUUAUGGGGCUGAAAUGCUGACAAGGGACUCGUUAUGAAAGGGACUCGUGUUAAUGUAUUUAAUAGACUCGAGAAGUAUUGAUAUUCAUCUUUUAAGUCAGAACAUAUUUCCUGAUGACCUUACGAUGGUCUCGGUAAGGCACAUUUUUCUUGCC